AAAAUAAACUGAACGCAUUAAAAUGACCAUCGCGAAAGAAAUUUCUCGGAAACAUACAAGUUUUGAUCAAAUUUUGAAAUAAAAUCGAUCGGUUAAAAGGCACAGGCGGAUAAAAAUGCGACAAAAAAGUAGUUGAAAAAAAAUAAAACGAGCAUGCCAGAUUGAACUACGUGAAACAUAGAUUAAAAAAAAAAACUGACAUCUCCAAGCUCAAUUUUGAAAUUUUUUUGCCCGCUAAUUUGAAGUACAAUUCAGAAACGA
rnacentral:lncRNA from 1 species